GAGCCUUUAUUCGGCAGCACAUACACUAAAAUUGGAACAAUACAGAGAUUAGCAUCCUCUAUGCAAGGAUGGUGCACAAAUUGGUGAAGCGAUGCAUUGAUUC